rnacentral:rRNA from 1 species
UACAGAGGGUGCGAGCGUUAAUCGGAAUUACUGGGCGUAAAGCGUGCGUAGACGGUAAUGUAAGUCAGAUGUGAAAUCCCCGGGCUCAACCUGGGAACUGCGUUUGUGACUGUAUGACUAGAGUACGGUAGAGAGGGGUGGAAUUCCUGGUGUAGCAGUGAAAUGCGUAGAUAUCAGGAGGAACAUCGAUGGCGAAGGCAGCCCCUUGGACCUGUACUGACGCUCAUGCACGAAAGCGUGGGGAGCAAACAGG